rnacentral:rRNA from 1 species
CCACCACCAAAGCGUUUCGCUUUGCGUGGUGCGCAAAAUGCGUAACGACAGCACGAUUGCGGUUAACGGAGCGUAAGCGACGUUCAACACAACAAUCAGGCAGUGGAGCGUUUUGGGGUGGGGUGACUGCGUACCUUUUGUAUAAUGGGUCAGCGACUUAUAUUCUGUAGCAAGGUUAACCGAAUAGGGGAGCCGGAGGGAAACCGAGUCUUAAUUGGGCGUUAAGUUGCAGGGUAUAGACCCGAAACCCGGUGAUCUAGCCAUGGGCAGGUUGAAGGUUGGGUAACACUAACUGGAGGACCGAACCGACUAAUGUUGAAAAAUUAGCGGAUGACCUGUGGCUGGGGGUGAAAGGCCAAUCAAACCGGGAGAUAGCUGGUUCUCCCCGAAAGCUAUUUAGGUAGCGCCUCGUGAAUUCAUCUCCGGGGGUAGAGCACUGUUUCGGCCAGGGGGCCAUCCCGGCUUACCAACCCGAUGCAAACUGCGAAUACCGGAGAAUGUUAUCACGGGAGACACACGGCGGGUGCUAACGUCCGUCGUGAAGAGGGAAACAACCCAGACCGCCAGCUAAGGUCCCAAAGUCAUGGUUAAGUGGGAAACGAUGUGGGAAGGCCCAGACAGCCAGGAUGUUGGCUUAGAAGCAGCCAUCAUUUAAAGAAAGCGUAAUAGCUCACUGGUCGAGUCGGCCUGCGCGGAAGAUGUAACGGGGCUAAACCAUGCACCGAAGCUGCGGCAGCGACACUGUGUGUUGUUGGGUAGGGGAGCGUUCUGUAAGCCUGCGAAGGUGUGUCGUGAGGCAUGCUGGAGGUAUCAGAAGUGCGAAUGCUGACAUAAGUAACGAUAAUGCGGGUGAAAAACCCGCACGCCGGAAGACCAAGGGUUCCUGUCCAACGUUAAUCGGGGCAGGGUGAGUCGACCCCUAAGGCGAGGCCGAAAGGCGUAGUCGAUGGGAAACGGGUUAAUAUUCCCGUACCUGGUGUUACUGCGAAGGGGGGACGGAGAAGGCUAUGUUGGCCGGGCGACGGUUGUCCCGGUUUAAGCGUGUAGGCUGGUUUUCCAGGCAAAUCCGGAAAAUCAAGGCUGAGGCGUGACGACGAGGCACUACGGUGCUGAAGCAACAAAUGCCCUGCUUCCAGGAAAAGCCUCUAAGCCUCAGGUAACAUCAGAUCGUACCCGAAACCGACACAGGUGGUCAGGUAGAGAAUACCAAGGCGCUUGAGAGAACCCGGGUGAAGGAACUAGGCAAAAUGGUGCCGUAACUUCGGGAGAAGGCACGCUGACAUGUAAGUGAAGCGGUUUACCCGUGGAGCUGAAGUCAGUCGAAGAUACCAGCUGGCUGCAACUGUUUAUUAAAAACACAGCACUGUGCAAACACGAAAGUGGACGUAUACGGUGUGACGCCUGCCCGGUGCCGGAAGGUUAAUUGAUGGGGUCAGCGCAAGCGAAGCUCCUGAUCGAAGCCCCGGUAAACGGCGGCCGUAACUAUAACGGUCCUAAGGUAGCGAAAUUCCUUGUCGGGUAAGUUCCGACCUGCACGAAUGGCGUAAUGAUGGCCAGGCUGUCUCCACCCGGGACUCAGUGAAAUUGAACUCGCUGUGAAGAUGCAGUGUACCCGCGGCAAGACGGAAAGACCCCGUGAACCUUUACUAUAGCUUGACACUGAACACUGGUCCUUGAUGUGCAGGAUAGGUGGGAGGCUUUGAAGUGUGGACGCCAGUCUGCAUGGAGCCG